AUAGCGGAGGAAAAGAAACCAACCGGGAUUGCCUCAGUAACGGCGAGUGAAGCGGCAAGAGCUCAAAUUUGAAAUCUGGCCCCUCCGGGGUCCGAGUUGUAAUUUGCAGAGGAUGCUUCGGGUGCGGCCCCUGUCUAAGUGCCCUGGAACGGGCCGUCAGAGAGGGUGAGAAUCCCGUCUUGGGCAGGGUGCCCGUGCCCGUGUGAAGCUCCUUCGACGAGUCGAGUUGUUUGGGAAUGCAGCUCAAAAUGGGUGGUAAAUUUCAUCUAAAGCUAAAUACCGGCCGGAGACCGAUAGCGCACAAGUAGAGUGAUCGAAAGAUGAAAAGCACUUUGAAAAGAGAGUUAAACAGCACGUGAAAUUGUUGAAAGGGAAGCGCUUGCAACCAGACUCGGCCUCGGGGUUCAGCCAGCAUUCGUGCUGGUGUACUUCCCCGGGGCCGGGCCAGCGUCGGUUUGGGCGGCCGGUCAAAGGCCCCAGGAAUGUAUCGUCCUCCGGGACGUCUUAUAGCCUGGGGUGCAAUGCGGCCAGCCUGGACCGAGGAACGCGCUUCGGCACGGACGCUGGCGUAAUGGUCGCAAACGACCCGUCUUGAAACACGGACCAA
rnacentral:rRNA from 1 species